rnacentral:rRNA from 1 species
CCAAGCGGAUCUCAUCCUGCAGAAGACUCAGAGCGGAUCUAUCUAAUGGCAUGGCUGGCUGGCGGAUGUGAUCUAUUCUCGUGUCACAUCGCUUUCUUUCUUCUCCCUCCAUUUUCUUCACUACUACCGCUUCUACACAUAAAUCAAAGAAGCAUUGUGGAAUAG